AAGGAAGUCCCUCAACUAUUUCAUUCUUAAUGACAGGUGCAGGUGUGGAGGAGAGGAGGUGACAUUUGUGUGCCCAUCACUAAUGUGCUCUUUGGAAGCUUGUCUUUGGGAGGAGCAGUUCGUUAUAUUGUGGGCAGUAACACUUUGGCAUUGAAGAUUUCCAAUAAAACUUUAUUUAUAUUUUAUGUAGAAGAAAACAAGAAAAAAGAAGUCUGGUCAUUCAAAAGAACGAUCCAAGGAAAGGAGGAAGAAAAAGUCAUCUAAAAGAAACACAAGAAGCACUGUGCCGACAGUGACAGCGACUCUGAUUCUGACACAGACUCCGUGCCUGGGAGUUUCACAUGAGGAAGACAGCAUGAAGAAAGCCAAGGUCUCAUCGCGUCUUUUCAAUGAUCCAUUCAUGUGGAAUAUUAAGCAAGGCCUCCCUCUUGCUUCCAGCAGCACUCAACUGAAAGGUUUCCUUUUAGUGUUUAGUCCUCAGGAACUGGGUUCCUCUCAAGGAUUCUGAAUGAGACAGAAUACAUUUGAAGGCAUGAUUGUCACUCCUGAGCCGGGGAUGACAAUAAUAUGGCUCCUGUGGUGGGGGCAGGGGAGAAACGGGAGAAGAGCCCUUCUGGACUUGAUGGAGUCUCCUGUGUUUCCUUUGGGCCAGAAUGGUUUGUUCCCCUCUAUCCUCCACAAAAAGGGAGAGCAGUGAACAGAAUGUGGAGCAUCUAGAACAAAAGUAGGGGAAUGUUCGGAUGCUGCCUUCCCAGAAAGGCCUAUGAACAGUAGUUUCUUAGGAAGAUUCCUUUAGUGUCCAGGCUCGUGCCUGAACUCCUCAUCAUGAAUGGAGCUUGGCCACGUUUUGAGGCACACCGUUCUGUCACCGAGACUUUCCCCACCGCAUCUUUCACCUGUAUGUGCCUGAGAAGUGCAGGGCCCAGUGAUAGUACUCAGGGAUGUCACCUCAUGAAAAGGGACCAGCCUGACAUUCCUUACGAAUUCUCUUUUUUUUAGACCACAGUUUGAUUUAUUUACUUUUGGCGGGGCUUGGUCUUCAUUGCUUCCCAUGGACUUUCUCUAGGUGCAGCAGGCAGGGGCUGCUCUCUCGUUGUGGUGUGGAGGCUUCUCCUAUGGUGGCUUCUAACGGUGGCGCACGGGCUCUCGGGCAUGCAGGCUGCAGUAGUUGCAGCCCUCAGGCUCGGUCGUUGCAGCACAUGGGACUUGUUACUCUGCAGCACGUGGGAUCUUCCCAGACGGGGGAUCGAGCCCAUGUAUCCUGCAAUGACAGGCCAAUUCUUCACCACUGGACCACCAGGGAAGCCCUCAGCAAUUCUUAUCCAUACAGUACUAACCCCAUUUCACAUAUAAAAACAAGUAUACAAGAGAAUGCACAUCGCUCCUGGAAAUAACCCCAAAACGCCCUAUAAAAACACAGUGUUUUCACUUUUUCAGUUCAUCUAUCAGGCGUUCAGUGAAGUGCUCUUGCUGAGGUGCUAUGAAAAACUGUCAUAGGAAACAGGUCUUACAAGACAGGGGCCACAAAAUGAAUGCUGCAGACAGGGGCCCUUGCCAGGCCAAACCAAGCUCACACAAAGGAGGGCACAGGUGGAGGAGGCAAGGGUGGCAUGGAGGGUCUGGGUGUGUGGGGCUUCAGUGGCAGCAGAGGCACCCCACUCCAGUUGGGCCGCAAAACAAUGUGGCCCUUUGGGGUCCAUACAGGAUUAUGACGAGAGGGUGACCCAAGGCCACAGGGGACAUUUGUCUGAGAAUUACAGCCCUCUGCUAUCGCCAACACUUGGCCCUCCCACUCGUAAGCCUUGGGCAGUUAAGGUCUUGAGAGAAAAACACAACAUGCAAAUCUAUAUGCCACCGAUGAAAUGGAAGAAACUAUUUCAUUGCUAAAAUACUGUAGGAAGGUUAAGGCUGCAUCCCUCCCUCCAGCCCACCCUUAGGGAUGGUAGACUGUAUGUGCCAAGCUCUGGUCUAGGCUUACUGCUUUGCUCCUGUCCUCUCACUUUUAGUAUUCUUGGAUUACUUUCCACGUCCUACAUGUGAGCCCGCUCGCAAACAGUACCGUGUCCCUGCUGUCAGUGCUUUGCCUGGUAACAGGAUAAAGAAACGUUAGUGCUCUACCAGCAGUCCAGCUGCUCUGCCCUCCUCACUAGGGACAGUGUCACCCUGGUCUUUGGGGGGGAGGGGCUGGGCAUGAUAAAAACUCAGCCCCUUUCAAAGUCAUAAUGAGGGAAACAGCACCCAUUUAAAGGCCAUCUUCAGUCUGAACUAAAUAGUUACUAGGAAGGAACAUGCUGGCUUUCUAGACAGAACGAUGACUCAGGGGGUCUUUUAUCCAUCUGACCUCUUGAGAGUUAGAAAGGUGGUCUGGCAAGGGGGCUCAGGGGGCUUGUGACUUGUCUUAUUGGCACAUGAGAGUUGCUGAAGCUCUGGAUACUGCCUUAAUAUUUUAGUCUUGAAUGCUAAGGAAAGUUCACCUAACUAGGUUCAAGUCCAUUCUAACUCAGUUUCUGCCCAGCCAAUAAUGUGGAGGGAAAGAGGCAGACCACCGUCAUUUCUACAUACGCCAACCUGUCCCCACCCUCCGGUUUUGUGGGCUCAGGACACUGUCAGCUGAUUCGGUCCUACCCUCAGGUUCAGGAUUCUAGAUGGUGGUGAUGUUGCCUGAGUGGUGAAACACCAUGGUCCUACCAGCCCUUCUCCUCACCUAGGAGAGUCCAACACCAUCAAGAGAUCUAAGGCAGGAGAGUGCAACUAGGCAUUUUAGAACAAGGUCAGCCACAGUGUGGCACCCCCGUGUUCACUGCAGCAUUACGUGCAACAGCCAGAUAAGGAAACAACCUCACUGUCUAUCCACGGAUGCAUGGACAAAGAACACGUGUAUACAGGCAUGGCUCCGAGAUACCAUGGGUUUGGUUCCAGACCACGGCAAUGAAGCAAAUAGCACUACAACGUCAUCCACACAAAUUUCUUGUUUUCCCAAUACAUAUAAAUGUCAUUUUUACACUGUAUUUGUAGUCUAUUCAGUGUGCAAUAGCAUUAUGUCUUAGACAAUAGCAUAAAUACCCUAAUUGAAAAAUACUGCUAAAAAAUGUUAACCAUCUUCUGAGCCUUCAGCAAGUUCAAAUAUUUUUGCAAUAGUAACAGAUUACUGAUCACAGAUCACCAUAACAAAUAUAACAAUGAUGAAAAAGCAUGAAAUAUUGCCAAAAGGACCAAAAUGUGACAGAGGCAAGAAGUGAGCAACUGCUUUUGAAUGAAUGGCACCACUGGACUUGCUAGAUGCAAGGUGGCCACAAAGCUCAAUGUGUAAACACAAUAUCUGCAAAGUGCAUUAAAGUCAAGCACAAUAAAUGAGGCAUCCCUGUAUAUGCAAGGGAACAUUAUUCACCCACAAAAAGGAAACUUUGAAUUUGCUACAUGGAUGAACCUUGAGAGCACUAGGCUAAGUGAAAUAAAUCAUAAAGAUAGA